rnacentral:rRNA from 1 species
UGAGGAAUUUUGCGCAAUGGCCGCAAGGCUGACGCAGCAACGCCGCGUGGGUGAAGAAGGCCUACGGGUCGUAAAGCCCUGUCAGGUGGGAAGAACGACCGGGAAGUGAACAGCUUUCCGGUGUGACGGUACCACCAGAGGAAGCACCGGCUAACUCCGUGCCAGCAGCCGCGGUAAUACGAAGGGGGCUAGCGUUGCUCGGAAUCACUGGGCGUAAAGGGUGCGUAGGCGGGUUUCUAAGUCAGAGGUGAAAGCCUGGAGCUCAACGCCAGAACUGCCUGUGAUACUGGAAGUCUUGAGUUCGGGAGAGGUGAGUGGAACUGCGAGUGUAGAGGUGAAAUUCGUAGAUAUUCGCAAGAACACCAGUGGCGAAGGCGGCUCACUGGCCCGAUACUGACGCUGAGGCACGAAAGCGUGGGGAGCAAACA